rnacentral:rRNA from 1 species
AACGAACGCUGGCGGCAUGCCUAACACAUGCAAGUCGAACGAGACCUUCGGGUCUAGUGGCGCACGGGUGCGUAACGCGUGGGAACCUGCCCUUAGGUUCGGAAUAACUCCCCGAAAGGGGCGCUAAUACCGGAUAAUGUCUUCGGACCAAAGAUUUAUCGCCUUUGGAUGGGUCCGCGUUGGAUUAGCUAGUUGGUAGGGUAAAAGCCUACCAAGGCGACGAUCCAUAGCUGGUCUGAGAGGAUGAUCAGCCACACUGGGACUGAGACACGGCCCAGACUCCUACGGGAGGCAGCAGUGGGGAAUAGUGGACAAUGGGCGAAAGCCUGAUCCAGCAAUGCCGCGUGAGUGAUGAAGGCCUUAGGGUUGUAAAGCUCUUUUACCCGGGAUGAUAAUGACAGUACCGGGAGAAUAAGCUCCGGCUAACUCCGUG